rnacentral:rRNA from 1 species
UCAGGACGAACGCUGGCGGCGUGCUUAACACAUGCAAGUCGAGCGAUGAAGCUUCUUCGGAAGUGGAUUAGCGGCGGACGGGUGAGUAACACGUGGGUAACCUGCCUCAUAGAGAGGAAUAGCCUUCCGAAAGGGAGAUUAAUACCUCAUAACAUUGCAGUUUCGCAUGGAACAGCAAUUAAAGGAGUAAUCCGCUAUGAGAUGGGCCCGCGGCGCAUUAGCUAGUUGGUGAGGUAACGGCUCACCAAGGCGACGAUGCGUAGCCGACCUGAGAGGGUGAUCGGCCACAUUGGGACUGAGACACGGCCCAGACUCCUAUGGGAGGCAGCAGUGGGAAUAUUGCACAAUGGGGGAAACCCUGAUGCAAGCAACGCCGCGUGAGUGAUGACGGCCUUCGGGUUGUAAAGCUCUGUCUUCAGGGACGAUAAUGACGGUACCUGAGGAGGAAGCCACGGCUAACUACGUGCCAGCCGCUGC